UACGUAGGGGACAAGCGUUGUCCGGAUUUACUGGGCGUAAAGAGCGCGCAGGCGGUCGAUCAAGUCGAGUGUGAAAGCCCCCGGCUCAACUGGGGAGGGUCAUUCGAUACUGAUCGACUCGAAGGCAGGAGAGGGUAGUGGAAUUCCCGGUGUAGUGGUGAAAUGCGUAGAUAUCUGGAGGAAUACCGGUGGCGAAGGCGGCAUCCUGGACCGAGAUUGACACUGAGGAGCGAAAGCCAGGGGAGCAAACGGG
rnacentral:rRNA from 1 species